UAGUUCUGCAAUGUAAUUAUUGCAGGUACUCUAUAACUGCAAUGAUUUACAUUGCAGGACUA
rnacentral:miRNA from 1 species